rnacentral:lncRNA from 1 species
UAUGUGACUUUUCUGUGUCACUGAAUCAAUAAACAGUUCAUCAUCAUUUGACUCUUUGAUUGACAUUUCAUCUUCACUCACUGUGUACUGUUUUUCCACGGUAAGCUCUGCACACUUUUGCAAAGUGAUUCCAUUUACCACAUUUACUACACUGUGUGCCUUUAGCUGGGCAAUUUCCUUGUUCGCCAUGCACUUUGUAUCCACAAUAUCCACAUGUUUUGGGGCGUUUUGAGUCUGUGUCGCUCUGUUUUGGAGUUAUGUCUCUCUCCGUUCUGAAACGCUCUCUCUGGGCACCGGAGGUGUGCUUUGAUGUCUGCCUGACUGCGUGCACUGCUUGUUCACGUGAUGCGCUCGUGCUGCGGCGCGAAAUGGUUUUCAUCUGAGCCUGUGCUAAACUCGUGAGAUCUGGCUAUGUCGACAGAUUUGUCCAGCCUUAGCUCAGACCCAACAUUCAAAAGUUUCUCUCUCACUCGCGCUGUGGAAGGGCCACCAGAGGGCAGGCUGGGCUCAUGGAUAGUAGCCCAACAAGGCGUGUGAGACAAGUUGGGACACCUGAAAAGGGGCUGAGAUACAGGACUGUCCCAGGAUUACAAGUGCAGCCACAUGGAAAAAACGUGUUUAAACCACGACACAGAGAUUUCUCUGGAGACAUAAUAACAAGUGAUCCAUACCACCAGAGGGAGGAAGGGCACCUGUAUCAGUGAUUUUUACCGGAUAGAUAAUCUACAGAGAUAUACUGUAGCUCCCCAUGUACUCUCUCAAGAUUGUGCUUUUCUAUACCAGAUAUUGUAUGACUAUGUACAAAACCAAAAUCACCUUAUUUUUGUGCAUAUCAAAAUCUGCUGAUGGUAUACAAAGUCUGCCAAUCUCAAAAUGUAUAUGGCCAAGGUAAGCAAGCCCGGGUAAAAUUAACACACUUACAAAGAGGGAAAGACACAGGAGUGUAGUGGAAAAAUGAUAGAAGACUAUACUCGCGACUGGCAACUUGCAAGCGCCUAGGCCCAGCGUGAUGACUCAUUGACAAUUAAAUUACAUUGUUUGAAUGGAAGACCUUCUGUGGGCUAUCACACUGGUCAAACACACCUUAUCUGUGGCUUUCUCCGGGGAGGGAUGUUCCCUCAAAACCCUGGGACACCAUUGGAGGUGAAAUCGUCAAAAUGAAUGUUACUGUGUGAAUUAAAUUGUCAUGUUUGGAUUGUUUCCAGAGUUCAUAAAGAGCUAUGCAUUUUGUUAUGUUUUAUUGUACUGUAAGUGCCAUGGAUUUAUUGUUACAGGGAAACUGAUUUUGUUCGGCGGAUGUCAGUUCAAAGAGGACAGUUCAAAGAGGAGCGACACAGUGUGUGCGCUCCUAUCAUUUAAAUUGAGUCGAUUAGAUUAGAAUCUGGGUGUGUUGUUCCUGUCUAUUGUUUUUACUAGCACAGUGCAAAGAAUUGUUAAUUCAGGUUGGUGCUGAGUUCCUACUUCGUUGUUUAAAAGGAACAUGGAUUUCUUCAUACUAUGAGAAGUUGUUAGCAAGCUCCUGUGUGUAUCACACACUGUUUUUUUCUGAACUGAAAGCAUGUGUAACCACAUUAAGUCUUAGCCUAUUGGUGAUAGUCGUUUACUCCGAGUAGUCUGUAAUGUAUCAUGUAUUUCAUGUACACUGUAAUUGUUU